UCUGAACUUUGGCCAUUAGAGGGGAGCAAAAAUGAAGUGCAGGGAGACACCACCUGCUGAGCAGAGCCCUUCACUUCCCAAAAGCAAGAGCAGGCAGAAGCGAGGAGGUCAGCUGCAUUGCCUUGCAAGAGUCACCCGAACAGGCUGAUACAAAGAGUUCAAAGUUUAAUCUCUGCACACUAUUAGAGCUUUUUGGAUAACCCCUUGCAGAACCCCAAAGAACAUCUUUGCAAUGAGACUCUACACUCCUUUACCCAGCUCUGAACCGACACAGUCAGAGGAUUCUUUGGUUGGCAAGAUAUCACCUGCAAGGAGGACAGUCUUCAAGUCUUUGUUCAACAUUUGGGGUUUUUUUAAACCCAUUUGGUAAAGGAUUUCUGU